UACGUAGGGUGCGAGCGUUAAUCGGAAUUACUGGGCGUAAAGCGUGCGCAGGCGGUGAUGUAAGACCGAUGUGAAAUCCCCGGGCUCAACCUGGGAAUUGCGAUGGAGACUGCAAGGCUGGAGUCUGGCAGAGGGGGGUAGAAUUCCACGUGUAGCAGUGAAAUGCGUAGAGAUGUGGAGGAACACCGAUGGCGAAGGCAGCCCCCUGGGUCAAGACUGACGCUCAUG
rnacentral:rRNA from 1 species